CCCUUAGAUGUUCUGGGCCGCACGCGUGCUGCACUGAGUGGAUCAGCGGGUCAGGUUGCGCGAAAGUGUUUCCUAAUCUUUAAAUCCGCUCGUGAUGGGGAUCGACGGUUGCAAUUUUCCGUCAUGAACGAGGAAUACCUUGUAAGCGCGGGUCAUCAUCCCGCGCUGAAUACGUCCCUGCCCUUUGUACACACCGCCCGUCGCUCCUACCGAUUGAGUGGUCCGGUGAGGCUUUGGGAUCUGAGCGGAAAGAGCGUUUCGCUGUUUCUGCCCGGAAAACUCAGUCGAACCUUAUCAUUUAGAGGAAGGAGAAGUCGUAACA
rnacentral:rRNA from 1 species